rnacentral:lncRNA from 1 species
AGUUAGAUUUUUUCAUUGUUCUUCUUCCUCAUUCUCACGACCAAAUAGAUAUUAAAUGGGGGAAACUCAUACUCUCAAUUCACAACACAAAUAAGCAUGUUAUCUCACUCUCCCUUAUUCAAAUAACAAAUCAACAAAAAGUGAGUUCUCUCGUCCACCUUUAAUUGCAUGUUAGUAUAGUUAUUAGAAUAGAUUGUGGUUGAAAAUUGAUGAUUAGAUAUAAUCAAACCUUGAAUGCAGGUAUUUUUAUGGGUAUUCAAUUGGAAAAACUUCUUGUUAUACAUCAAUGUUAGAACUUGUAUUAGAUGUGAAUUGUAAAAUCCUCUCUAAAGAUUGAUAGGUGACCUGGUUGAAUCCCUUUCUUGGUGGAUAGGAAUUAAUGUAACAGAUCAACGUUGAUCUGAACAAAAUCGUGUAAAAACAAGAUU